UACGUAUGGAGCAAGCGUUAUCCGGAUUUACUGGGUGUAAAGGGAGCGUAGGCGGCGUGCCAAGUCUGAUGUCAAAGCCCGGGGCUCAACCCCGGAAAGUCAUUGGAAACUGGUAUGCUUGAGUAUCGGAGGGGUAAGCGGAAUUCCUAGUGUAGCGGUGAAAUGCGUAGAUAUUAGGAGGAACACCGGUGGCGAAGGCGGCUUACUGGACGAAGACUGACGCUGAGGCUCGAAAGCGUGGGGAG
rnacentral:rRNA from 1 species